rnacentral:rRNA from 1 species
GAUGAACGCUGGCGGCGUGCCUAAUACAUGCAAGUCGAGCGAACAGUUGAGGAGCUUGCUCCUCUGACGUUAGCGGCGGACGGGUGAGUAACACGUGGAUAACCUACCUAUAAGACUGGGAUAACUUCGGGAAACCGGAGCUAAUACCGGAUAAUAUAUUGAACCGCAUGGUUCAAUAGUGAAAGACGGUUUUGCUGUCACUUAUAGAUGGAUCCGCGCCGCAUUAGCUAGUUGGUAAGGUAACGGCUUACCAAGGCAACGAUGCGUAGCCGACCUGAGAGGGUGAUCGGCCACACUGGAACUGAGACACGGUCCAGACUCCUACAGGAGGCAGCAGUAGGGAAUCUUCCGCAAUGGGCGAAAGCCUGACGGAGCAACGCCGCGUGAGUGAUGAAGGUCUUCGGAUCGUAAAACUCUGUUAUUAGGGAAGAACAAAUGUGUAAGUAACUAUGCACGUCUUGACGGUACCUAAUCAGAAAGCCACGGCUAACUACGUG